GAUGAACGCUGGCGGCGUGCUUAACACAUGCAAGUCGAACGGAGAUAUUAAAAAUGAAGUAAGGAGCUUGCUUCGGACGGAAUGAUUAAUAUCUUAGUGGCGGACGGGUGAGUAACGCGUGGAUAACCUGCCUUAUACUGGGGGAUAACACUUAGAAAUAGGUGCUAACACCGCAUAAGCGCACAGCUUUUCAUGAAGGUGUGUGAAAAACUCCGGUGGUAUAAGAUGGAUCCGCGGCUGAUUAGCUAGUUGGUGGGGUAACGGGCCACCAAGGCGACGAUAAGUAGCCGGCCUGAGAGGGUGAACGGCCACAUUGGGACUGAGGCACGGCCCAAACUCCUACGGGAGGCAGCAGUGGGGAAUAUUGCACAAUGGGGGAAACCCUGAUGCAGCGACGCCGCGUGAGUGAAGAAGUAUUUCGGUACGUAAAGCUCUAUCAGCAAGGAAGAAAAUGACGGUACUUGACUAAGAAGCCCCGGCUAACUACGUGCCAGCCGCCGCAGUAAGAC
rnacentral:rRNA from 1 species